rnacentral:rRNA from 1 species
UACGUAGGGGGCUAGCGUUGUCCGGAUUUAUUGGGCGUAAAGAGCGUGUAGGCGGACAGGUAGGUCUGCUGUGAAAACUCGAGGCUCAACCUCGAGACGUCGGCGGAAACCAUCUGGCUAGAGUCCGGAAGAGGAGAGUGGAAUUCCUGGUGUAGCGGUGAAAUGCGCAGAUAUCAGGAAGAACACCCGUGGCGAAGGCGGCUCUCUGGGACGGUACUGACGCUGAGACGCGAAAGCGUGGGGAGCGAACAGG